AGUUUGAUCCUGGCUCAGAGUGAACGCUGGCGGCAUGCCUAACACAUGCAAGUCGAACGGCAGCACAGCAGUAGCAAUACUGUGGGUGGCGAGUGGCGGACGGGUGAGGAAUACAUCGGAAUUUGCCCAGUCGUGGGGGAUAACGUAGGGAAACUUACGCUAAUACCGCAUACGACCUAACGGUGAAAGCGGGGGAUCGCAAGACCUCGCGCGGAUGGAUAAGCCGAUGUCGGAUUAGCUAGUUGGUGGGGUAAAGGCCUACCAAGGCGACGAUCCGUAGCUGGUCUGAGAGGAUGAUCAGCCACACUGGGACUGAGACACGGCCCAGACUCCUACGGGAGGCAGCAGUGGGGAAUAUUGGACAAUGGGGGCAACCCUGAUCCAGCAAUGCCGCGUGUGUGAAGAAGGCCUUCGGGUUGUAAAGCACUUUUGUCCGGAACGAAACGUGCGGGGUGAAUAGCCUCGUAAACUGACGGUACCGGAAGAAUCAGCACCGGCUAACUUCGUGCCAGCAGCCGCGGUAAUACGAAGGGUGCAAGCGUUACUCGGAAUUACUGGGCGUAAAGGGUGCGUAGGUGGUUUUUAAGUCUGCCGUGAAAUCCCCGGGCUCAACCUGGGAAUGGCGGUGGAUACUGGAAAGCUGGAGUGCGGUAGAGGGUAGUGGAAUUCCCGGUGUAGCAGUGAAAUGCGUAGAGAUCGGGAGGAACACCAGUGGCGAAGGCGGCUACCUGGACCAGCACUGACACUGAGGCACGAAAGCGUGGGGAGCAAACAGGAUUAGAUACCUGGUAGUCCACGCCCUAAACG
rnacentral:rRNA from 1 species